UCUGUAAACGAUUAGCAAACGAUUAUUGCCUUUUCUUUAAUCUUUAUUAUUACGAUCGACGAAUCGUCGUGCAUAGAACGAGAGUUGAACGAGUUUUAUGAACCGUUCCGCGAUAUGCAUUCAUACCGUAUAUGUUGCGCGCGCAUAAUAAACGAUAAAUCAAUUUAACGCGUUUAAUCCUUCGUUCGCUCGUAAGUAUUUUGCGUAUAUUCGAUGAUAUCGCACGAGGCGGGAAAAAGGUAUAGAUUUCGCAUUCCAGGUUAAUGGAUCGGUUUGCCGCGGCGUAAAAGAUAAAAUCGCGGCGUUACGUGUACGAUUGCGACAACUUCCGGCGUUUCUCGAGACGUUGUCGUCGUCAUCGUCGAAUAAUGGUUUCGAAGCGAAGAAUUGUGACUUUCGAUCGAAUUCCAAAUGAAUUUCGUUCUAUCCAAGAUGAGCGCGUUUUAUUGCUGCGCGAUAAUCGAGGAGAGCGGAAGGAGAUAAAGGAAAAAUAUUAUACGAGAAAGAACGGUGUCAACGUUUAUACAGUUGUUUAUGCGAACUGUCAAUACAAUAACGAGAGUAUCGUGUGCCGAAAAAAUAUAUAUAUAUAUAUUUCGUUGGCAUUGCAAAAUAUAAUGGAUAAAGGAAACGUUUGUAAUAUAAUUCGUGAAUAUAAUCGUUGGAGAACAGGUAUCGGGUAGAUUUUCUGAUUUAUACACUUUAUUGAAAUGUUACCACCACACAGGCAAGCAAACGUAGAUAUCUUAAAACGAGCGAAAUAUUCAUUUUUGACGAUAAUAGGUAGGAACGUCGAGUUAUCGCUAUCUACACGGCAAUAAGUAUACACCUUUGUUAAAAAAAAAAGUUUAACAACAAUAUUGCCGGAAAGCGUCGACUAAUCUAAAAACGGGCAUAAACAUUUUUCACCUCGUUGAUAAAAUAAUGCGACACGUCGAGAUCUUGUAAACCCGGUGGUCCCCUUCUCCAAGUGGGAAAUAACUUGGAGAUCGUCGUACAAGAUAAAAAUUAUACAAAAAAAAAAAAAAA